AUUGAACGCUGGCGGCAGGCCUAACACAUGCAAGUCGAGCGGAUGAAGGGAGCUUGCUCCUGGAUUCAGCGGCGGACGGGUGAGUAAUGCCUAGGAAUCUGCCUGGUAGUGGGGGAUAACGUCCGGAAACGGGCGCUAAUACCGCAUACGUCCUGAGGGAGAAAGUGGGGGAUCUUCGGACCCCACGCUAUCAGAUGAGCCUAGGUCGGAUUAGCUAGUUGGUGGGGUAAAGGCCUACCAAGGCGACGAUCCGUAACUGGUCUGAGAGGAUGAUCAGUCACACUGGAACUGAGACACGGUCCGGACUCCUACGGGAGGCAGCAGUGGGGAAUAUUGGACAAUGGGCGAAAGCCUGAUCCAGCCAUGCCGCGUGUGUGAAGAAGGUCUUCGGAUUGUAAAGCACUUUAAGUUGGGAGGAAGGGCAGUAAGUUAAUACCUUGCUGUUUUGACGUUACCAACAGAAUAAGCACCGGCUAACUUCGUG
rnacentral:rRNA from 1 species